rnacentral:ncRNA from 1 species
ACUUUUUUGCCACCGGGUAAAGAAGAACAGCGUCGGACUUUCUAUCGUUAGGUCUUAGAAGAUAGAAAUUGCCGGCGCUUUUUUGCU